GACGAACGCUGGCGGCGUGGAUUAGGCAUGCAAGUCGAACGGUAUCAUCCUUUCGGGGGUGAGGAGAGUGGCGAACUGGUGAGUAACACGUAGGUUAUCUACCCUCAAGACGGGGACAACCCAGGGAAACUUGGGCUAAUACCGGAUGUGAGCAACUUUUAGUUGUUUGAAAGGUGGCGUAAGCUGUCGCUUGGGGAUGAGCCUGCGUCCUAUUAGUUAGUUGGUGAGGUAACGGCUCACCUAGGCAAUGAUAGGUAGGCGGCCUUAACGGGUGGUCGCCCACACUGGGAUUGAGAUACGGCCCAGACUCCUACGGGAGGCAGCAGUCGAGAAUAGUCUACAAUGGUCGGAAGACUGAUAGUGCGACGCCGCGUGAACGAUGAAUCCCUUCGGGGUGUAAAGUUCUUUUAUAUGUGAGCAGUGCUUCUUAUAUUAACAGUAUGGGGAGAGAGAUAUUAGCAUAUGAAUAAGCAACGGCUAACUCCGUG
rnacentral:rRNA from 1 species